rnacentral:tRNA from 1 species
CAGGGAGACAACAAAAUGUUUAAUAUUAUUAUUUUGUCACCUUAGGUCAAUCGGUAUCUCACGUUCUUAAUUUAUUAAGAAUUUCAUUUCCUAAGUUUUUCUAGGUCACACCCAUUAUUUUCCUGGGCCAUUAGCUCAGGUGGUUAGAGCGCACCCCUGAUAAGGGUGAGGUCCCUGGUUCAAGUCCAGGAUGGCCCAUAUCUCUAUGUUGGGGGUAUAGCUCAGUUGGUAGAGCGCCUGCUUUGCAAGCAGGAUGUCAGCGGUUCGAGUCCGCUUACCUCCACUGAUUACCACCUCUUCCAUAAUUUAUAGAAAGGAAAAAUUUUUGAGUUGUGAUUAUUAUUCUGAACGAAUCUAGCUUCCUAAUGAACUCAUUAAGAUGCUGGACUCAUUGAAUUAAUUUCAUUGUUUUCAGAGAACCUUGACAACUGCAUAGAUUAUUUUAAAGACAAUAAGCAUCUUUUAAUGAUGCAGAUUUAUUAUUUGUGCAAAUGCAUUAAUAACAAUUCUAUUGAGCUGAUGCUUCAAUUAUGAAGUUAUU